UAUUCUCCAAUAACUGUAGUAUAAGUACCCCUUGCUAUCAUGGGAUAGACUGUACUUAUUACAUGAAUUCGAAGAGCUUACGUCAGAGAAUAAAUCUAGAGUGGGAAAUGGAAAAGUUUAUGACGCUAGGUACUUACCUACCUAGCGGCAGUAUGUUUUUAUUCGAUGUAAUAGUAAGAACGUGUGAUAUAUGUUCGACCGCUUUUUUAUCUUUUAUUAUUCAAAUUGCAAUGUAAAUUGUUUCUAAUUCGAAUGAAUAAUUAAACGAUUUUCAAUGAUCUAAUAUUCGCGUCGUGAAAGUUAAUUUGCUCAAAGGAACAUGUUUUUCUGAUUGAUUCGAGUAUUGGAUGUAAUGGAAAAAAGGAUUCUCUGUGCCGGCGGUUCUUGGAUUCGUCGAUGUGGUUUCCAUGUUCGCGUUAAGAACGGAUUAUUUUUGCCAAUUGUGACCACAACGUUGGUUCUUGCUUACCUGAUCAGAAGAAGUUCUUGGAUAUAUCGAAGGAGGACGCUUGUCCCUGUGACUUCUUGAAUGUGACAUUAUGCUGCACUGGAUUUUAAUCACAAAACACAGAACGAGGAACGAGCACUACGAACUAAACUAACCCAACUAUAAUACGAUACACAUCUGCGAAAUGAAACACGAUUUUGAUUUUUUUUAAAACUGUAGGUAGGUAUACUCGAAUAAUAUACUUAGGUAUAGUGUUAUGGUCUGUAUAGGUACUUUGGUUAUUUUUUUAUGUGCUCGUUUUUUAUAAUUAUCAUUAUGUUAUCAUUGUUCUGUCGAAUAGAACUAAAAACUAAAAAUCAGUAUUCGAGGUACAAAGUGCAUGUUGUAUAGAGACGAAAAAUGUUUAUUAAAAAAAGUACCACACCAAUUGCCGCAUUACAAAGACUCGACAGAUAAUUUCAUAAUUACUGAUAAAAUUUAAACUUACAAUUAUACGAGCAGUUUUUUUUUUUUUUUUUUGGUAGAAAGGCACACACGUAUUUUCUUAAUUUAGUUAAGUUUAAGUAUAGGUAGGUACAUUAUCAAAUUCAAACCCGAAUAAAAAGAUUAUUGCAAGCACAAGGAAGUAAAUUAUGAUCAACUUUAUCAAUUUUUCAUUUUUUUACCUCUAAUUUUAUUGAUUUUAUGCGAAUGCUUACCUAAUGAAUGAUGAUUAUUUUUUAACUUUUGCGGAAAAGAUAACCUAAUUAAAAUUAACCAUCGUCUUUGAUUUUUUUCAUUUCAUUAAAAUAACAUUUUUUUCAACUUGAAAGGGAAUGUGAACUACGUAAUGUGAUUCUAUAACCCUUGUUCUUCUAUACGCAGCAUUGAUUAAAUAUCACUUACCAGAGACUUGCGAACGUUUUUAAACUAGGCAGAGACGAAAGUGGAGGUAUUUUUAUGAGAUGUAGACUAAAAUUUUCCAACUGGCAUAAAAAAAAUACCAGCUUUGUCGAAUAAAAUGACGAGGUUUUGCAGUAGAAUAAGAGAUAAAAUACUACUCGUAUUCAUAUGACUUGAAAAAAUAAUUUCUAUUUUCUUUCUUAAAUUUUUGGUAUUCCAAUUCUGGAACGAAGUAAGGCCAAACGCUUUUGAAAACUGAUGACUUGAAAAACUUGACGAAUUUUUUGGAACUCAGUCAAGUUUUGAGCAUUUAUUAAGACCUUUGGCAGUUUUUCAAACUUGAUGGUACCUAAAAUUUAAACAAAAUCAAAUCUCACUGAAUAGUCAUCAAAAUUAUAAAGUUUUCCGAUUUUUAUAGUCAGUUUUCCUAAUUUUUUGAAAACUCAAAUCUACUCGACUGACGUUCAUAAUCACCGCAAUUCUCCAAAUUCUUCGAAAAAUUUCAUUUGAAUUGUAAAAUUUGUCGAUUUCAAACAAAAUAAUAAUGAUUAUAGGUACCUCUUUUGAAGCUAUUUCUCAUCUUCAAUUACCAACGACCUAGGUAUAGGUAUCUCUAAUGUUAGUUUUGUGCUAUUCCACAUCAUCUGAAGCUAAAAAUCAAGUCGAAAUUCGAAGGAAACUUGUCAGAAAAAUCUGGAACAAAAUCACAGGAUCUGACCUCAUAUUUGGGUCGAGUUGAUGCGAAAUAAGUUGUGCAAAAAAAUUAUAAGUAUGGGAACGUUCCUUUAUUAAAACAUAUAAUCCAUAGUUUUUUUGUUUUUUUUUUUUCAAAUUGAUGUUUACAUUACCUACCUACUGCAGAAAACAUGCAAUUCUUAGAAAUUUCAAAAAUUAUAAAUGUCACAAUAAGUACUUAAGUAGGUAUAAAUUUUUGAAUUUUUGGAAAACUUUCAAUUUGAAAAGUUUUGGAGUAAAUUUUAAAGUUCUUCGAUUCUAUCAGGGUUUGCGUGAAAAUAAGUAGCUGCUUGACCACCCAGAAUCAACGUCUUUUCUAAAGAUAAGAUGCCUUGAACAAAUGUUGCCAAAAUUUGAGGUACCAAAGUAUAUUUCUAAAUUUUUGGGAAAUUUAUGAAAGUUCAAAAAGCUUAAAAAUGAUGUACUUACUCGUAAUUCUAUCAAUUUUUAACCUUUUUAUGUUUCUUUUUGAAAAACUAAAUUAACCAGUAGGUAUCAAUGUGAGUAUUGGUGAAUUUUCAAAAAUGCAAUUUGAGUCAAAAAUGGAGAGAAAUCAAAAUUUUUCCAAAAAAAAAAAAUGAUCUAGGAAAUUUAAUAAUGUAAGUAUCUAAUUAUUGACCCCAACUUCCCCCACCCCACCCCACCCCACCAAAAAAUCAACUUGAAGCCUACAUAAGACGUAAAGCAGGUUUUUAAAAGUUGAAAGUUUCACAAAAUUUUAUACCUCAUGAAAUUUUGUGGAAGGCUAAAAUUUACAUAUUGAAGAUGAUUUCAAGAUGGUCUGGAGCCUCCAGUCGUAUUAUGGAAAUUCCAGAUUUUCAAAAGUGCCAUAAAGAUUAUCGAAAUCAGCUUCAGCGAGUAUUUUUUCAAAAUCAGUUUUUGCCAAUUCAGAAUUGUACAUUUUUCAAUUUUUCAAUCACGGAUUUUUAUCACAUUUAAUAUGUGGAAUUUCUAGAAUAUGACUAGACCAGAAGUAAGCUCAAAAUGGUUUAAAACCAUUCACAAUCGCUUUGGAGGAUCGACAAUAGGGUAUUAUGCCAAAUUUCAGCUUCCUAGGUCAAUUUGGUAAAAUUUUGAUUUUUCCCUUCAUUUUUAAACCUCUAAUUUUCAAAAAUUCGAAAAAUGCACUUCAGCUCUUGAAGUCUUUCUUAGGUGUAGCUGUGUCUGGUUUCAAUUUUUUUGCCAGUUGUGGAACCUCUCUUGUAAGAGAAGAUCCUUUGAACGGACACGUUUCAGUUUGAUCAGAAACAAUCUAGACUGAUAAAGCAUAAUACUUAUCCUAUAAUCUCCUCAACAAAAAUUUCAGAAUUCAUCACCUCCUUGGAUUGUUGGGUGAUUUUUGAAAAUUUUAAAAAUUCAAAAACAUGUUUUUAUGACAAAUUUUUAGAUAACUUUUUCAUUGUUUUCUUCAAACGAAAUCAACCAGAUGUGACUAAUUACCUCAUUUCCCUUUCACUCUUUCUCACUGUGAAAACUACCUGUUUUAGGUCAAUUUUGAUUUAAACCUUCAGCAAGUGCUUAAUUUUCUCCACAAAGAUAAAGCCCAGAUGAAGCGUUGUCAGAUCUAAAAAACCAUUCCUAUCCUAUUCCAUCCCCAUGAGACCAGGGCCAGACCCUAGAACACUGAAAAUUUAGUGGUCCACUGAGAUAUCCCUUUUUAGCGGCCCUGAUUCUGGGCUCCUCAAUUAAUCAGCCAAAUUUUUUUAUCCCAUUUUUUAAAGUGCAGGACACUGAGCAUAAAAAUUCAUUCAGAAAUUUUUUAAGCGACCCAGUUUUUAUACCUCACCCCCCCCCCCAAAUACAUCACAGCCAACCGAGAUUUUCUUGGUAACUCGGUGGUAUGGGGUCCGGGCCUGCAUGAGAUGACAUAAAACUAGGUAUAUCUGAUGAAGACUUACUUUGUCACUCAUAUUUCAUAUCAUUUUCUCUCUCUCACUCACGGCUAUUUUGUUCAAAAAACCACCUCGUCUCUUACCUCGAUGAUUGGUUAUGAGGACCCAGUCGCCUUUUUGAAAGAAUAUUGCCUAUUGGGUCAGGAUGACUUUUAUUAUUGAAGGCAUAAUAUUCUUCUUCAAUUUUCUUAAGCCUGCGUUUUUCACGAAUGAAAGUUUCAAUCACCUGAUGGCUGGUGUGGAGUCAUAUUGAGGAUUUUUUGCUUAUUUUGUUUGACUGUAUAGACUGCCUUUUUGGUCAAAGAGUUGGCAACAAUGUUUGUAAAUUCACGCUUUCUUGCAAAAACAUGAAUAAAUUCAACAUUAUCAAACUCGGAACUCUUUACAUAAUUCGAGAAUUUCUUUAAACAAAUGCUCAUGAUGCACCAAGUUAUGUUAAGCACGCUGCAAGGGUUGCCUAUAAAAAUUCAUUCCAGCACCUUCACCUAUGAAUUUAGUAGUUGGUACUUUUUGAGCACAUUCUCACCAUUUUGUUCUUGAAAGUAGGAUGAAAUUAUUAUCAUUUGUAGGUACUUUACCUACAGGGUGCCCAGAAAUACCGUGAACCCUUAAAAAAGUUUUCUGCCAAAUGUUUUGGUUGAUCACACUGACUGAUAAUAAUGAUAGCACAUGAUUGGUUGCUAGACCGAGGUGAUAACAUUCCAUCAAUCAUAUGCAUUUAGUUCAUGUUGCCAACCUAUGUUUUUAAUAAAAAACUUUCUUUAGGGUACACAAUAUUUCUGGGCACCCUGUACCUAAACCUAUAAUUUGUACAAAAAAUAUUGAAAAUUGAUCAAAAACAUUUUUCAGUUUUCAAAAGUCUGCUGAAAUUUUAGAAAAUUAUUUUUAAAAGAUCAACAUUCCUAUAAUAUUUUUAUUGUUCAUUGAUUCAUUUCCAAGUUUUCUAAAGUCAAACAUGAUUUUUGAAAAUCUACUUCAGAUAUUAAUAACUAAUAAGUGACGUAUAGCAGAAAUUGGUAAUUUUUUCCAUUUUUAAUAGUUUCAUAAGAGAAUUAUUUUUCUAGUUUUCAAAAAUCAGACAAAAAAGUAUUGGGUAGGUAGGUGUAGCUACAUAAAAUACUUACCUACCUAUGUAUAGUAAAAUCAAAUAUUACAAAACACAAUGUCCUUUCGUCAACGAUCUAAAUCGAUGAAAAUACACAUUAGACAAAAACCUCAAAUACAUCGAUGGCAACAUGGUAAAUAUUUUUUUCACAUCACAUCUCGAGCUGAAUUUUUGCAAUGCAAUCGAAUCGAACGUUGACAGGAUGUUUGAAAACCAAUCGAUCUUUUCACCGGGUAACAAAGGGGUUAGAAUAGAACAGUGGUUCUUUUGUGAAUUCUAAAAUUGGACACCAUUUUGUAUUCUCAUAUAUACAUACGUAUAGGCUAUGUGGGAGUACGAGCAGAUUAUGAUGCAUUUUAAUAAAAACCUCGACAGCCCAAAAACCAAUCUGCUACCAGUUUUAAAAAGGGGUUGAAAAACUAAACUCGACUCGUUCAAGUGUCGACUGUCGAUUUGGAUUUUCGGGAAUAAUUACCAUCGAAUGCUUAGACUUAGACCUACCACAGCAAUACUAUUCGAAGUAAAGCCUCGAAGAACAACUUGCUGUUCUACUGUCUUAUACGGUCGAUUUAAAAAACAAUUUGUACGUAAUAAAGAAGGUGACGAUUUCGACUUUGGUUUAAAAUAAAAACGUAGCCCUUCAUCUCUUGCAUAUAGGAAAUCAUACCCGACGAGUGAUUUUAACAAAAUAAUUACUCGUUUAAGUAUAGGUAACGACCGAAUGUAAAUUCCAAGAAAUGAGAACCACUGUUUCCGAAUGCUCACAAGAAGGGUUACGAGUGUUUACAUGAACUGGCGAUUGUUGCAAACCGCGGCAUGGCUAUUGGAAAAAACACCACAAUUCGCACGAACGCAGAUGCUAAAAUUUUUCGGGGUUUUUGUCAAAUAAUACAUAAAAAGGGCCACAUAUAUAGGCCUAUACACGAUGGAAAUAUAUUCAAAACACCUGACCAUGGUGGUGCGAAAGGGUCGAAAUCUUUUUCACCCGCUUACACUCUCUCUUUCAUCAUCUUUUUAAAAUCUCAACGACCAAAGAUCUAAUUCCAAAAAAUAUAAAAACCUUUUCAGGUAAAAAUAUAUAAUAUGCGAAAAAAGAAUCGAUAUUUUAACAAUCGCAGGUAUAGAAAUUCGGCGCAAUUCCAAAAAAAAAAAAGACUGCCAGUGCCUUUUAAAAAAAGAUACCUACCAAAAUGACACUGUAAGUAUGACCUUGCGAAAUACUGGUCUUCGAAAUACAUACCUACGUCUAUAGAUAGGCUACUCUUUUCAAUAUUUUCAAAUCAAUUAAACAACCAAUAAGAGAGUAUAUUUUUAUAAAUAUCCACGCAUUUGUGAUCUUUUUACCGUAAAUCCUCCAGUUCCGGUUAGUGAAAUUGUCAAAGGCCAUCAAUGACUUUUGAAAAUAUGUACCAAUAUUGUAAACCAGGAUUUUAAAAUACCUCGGGCUUAAUCCGUUGAAAUUUUUCGAGUUUGUUAAUUACUCCGAUUGGAAAUAAUCUCUAAAAAGAGUUAGACUUUUACUCAUUCUUAUGUAGAAAAAUUGGUAAUUACCCGUCAUUUUAACCUUCAUUAGUUUACAAACCUGUUACUUAUAAUACGUUUUAUUAGUCAAACUGUAUGUCUUCGUUGAACAUUAAUAUAAAAUCAUCUCAAAGGUUGAUUUUCUCUUUUUAAAUAACGUAAACACAAAGAAAACAUUUUCAAUUAGAUAGCUGCGCAUUAAUUAUACUUAGUCUAAAUAGUAUAGAAUGGAAUAACUCGUGAUUGUAAUAAUUCGUCGCUAUAAGUCAAACUACUCGUACAUAGUAUACAGUCUUGUAUUUUGUAUCGUAAAAUAUAUCGUUACUAAAUUUGGAUAGUAAAACGUACAUGUGCGGACCAUUCGAAUGUCGAGAGUUCGCAUACCCUUUGUCAACGAUGCAAUAAAAUACACACACAGAUUGCUUAUGCAAUUUUACGUUACGUUAUCUUAUCCUAUAAGAAUAAGUUUACUUCUUUUUUUUUGUUGUUCGUGAACUUUACUUGUAACUACUUAUACCUACUCGAGUAAUACGUAUUGUAUGAUUGUAUGUACACAAAACCCCAGUUGUAAUAAAAAUAUGAUUAUAACGAA